rnacentral:snoRNA from 1 species
ACGCAUCUGUUUGACAGACCUGGAGCAAACGGCCGUUGCUUCUCUGGUUUCUUGCUGAGAUGCAACAGUAAUGGGUUCCUUGCGCUUUCUACCUGUCUGACCUUGUGGCAGUCUGGAUUGAAUAAAGGAACACAAAA